rnacentral:rRNA from 1 species
UACGUAGGGACCGAGCGUUGUCCGGAUUCAUUGGGCGUAAAGAGCUCGUAGGCGGCUGUUCAAGUCGAACGUGAAAACUCGGAGCUCAACUCCGAGCCUGCGUUCGAUACUGGACGGCUAGAGUCUGGUAGGGGGAUCUGGAAUUCCUGGUGUAGCGGUGGAAUGCGCAGAUAUCAGGAGGAACACCGGUGGUGCAGACGGCUCUCUGGACCGUAACUGACGCUGAGACACGAAAGCGUGGGUAGCAAACAGG